AUUUGUGAAUACAUAGAACUGUGAUCUAACCGUGUUAGUAGCCAUUUCGCUUUUCUUGGAGUUAGGAUUGGCAAAGAAACAUACAAUGGCAAAUAAAUUAUUGUUAUCAUAUCUACGACAAAAUACUUCAAUGUGUGUUCGUGGAUUAUCAGCAAUGCCAGAAUUUCCUAACAAAAUUGGUAAUAGAGAUGUAGUAGGUAAUGGAUGGAAUGGAGAAGAAGCUUAUUUAGAUCGAAGUGAUUUUCCUCUGCCUGCAAUUCGUUUCAAAGCAAAUACUCCAGAUAUAAUGGCAUUACGAGAAAAAGAGAAAGGUGAUUGGAAGAAAUUAUCAAUAGAAGAAAAAAAAAUAUUAUAUCGAGCUAGUUUCCGUCAAACAUUUAGUGAAUUUUUAGCUCCAACAGGAGAGUGGAGAGGACAUAUUGGAAUAGCACUUAUAGGUGUAUCUUUUAGUCUUUUGACAUACAUAUUACUCAAAAUUUAUGCAUUCCCACCAUUACCAGAAUCAUUUAAUGAAGAAAACAGACUUGCACAACUGGAACGUAUGAAAUUACUUCAAGUCAAUCCUAUUGCUGGAAUUAGUUCAAAAAAUUAGUUCAAAAAAAUGUUUUUAAAGCAUAGCAAAAAGUACAGUCUACUAUACAUUAACAGUUCUUUAAUAUAAACUUCUAUAUAAGACAGAAAGCAGAAGGAAAUAUACCGCUGUAUGUAUUACUUAACGAUAAUAACAAUAACAACAGUAAUAAUAAUUACAUUGCUUUAAAAAUAUGAAGUUCAAGUUUUACUGUUCAUAUUCGUACAUCAUACAUACAUGUAUAUAUAUGUAUGUUGUAACAAGUAAUUGACAUCCUAAUAAUAAAAUUCAAUCACAGUUUAUAAUAUUAUCUAUGAACAAUGUUUUGUUAAAUAAUAUUACACAAUACUGCAUAAGAAUUAAAAAAUUUGAAGGAAAGUGAAUACUAACAUUAUUUAUCUCUGCACUUGAAUUUAAUAGGAGAUAUUGUUGAAUCAUUACAACUUGCAUUAACACAAAAUGCAGUCCGGACAAAAAUUCUUAAUUAGUAAACAUUUCUUAUUUUUUUCAGUUUGAGAAAAUUUAUGUUGAAAAACGGAAUGUAAUUUUCAAUAAUAAAUUAGAUAUAAGAUAAUUUCACAAGUAUA